GUUGGCCAGGCCCUUCUUGAUGCUGAAUGGCAGGAGGACUUUGAAGAAGUGACAGGGUCAGAGGUGCCAUCCAGAAAGAUCACCCUGAUCAGAGCUGGGAGAAUGGAGGUGCCGGGCAGGAGCAGAUGCCAGGGCCGGCUUGGAGGCAACUGGAAUACUCCAGGCAAGAGGACGGAGUCCAAGGCCAGGGUGGGAGAAGGGGUUGGGAAGCCCUGCAGGGGGUAGAAUGGACUCAAGAUUUGAAAUUGGGGCAGGGAGUGGGAAACAGUGUCAGUCAUGAGCCCCUGGGUGCUGCCUCGUGGACCAAAUGGAUGCUGGUGCCAUUGACUGCAAUAGAAUCCUGGGGAGCGACCAGAGCGAGGUGGCAAAGAGAUAGGGAGAGAGAGAGAAUGUGUGUGUGUGUGUGUGUGUGUGUGUGUGUGAGCGAGGUGGCAAAGAGAUAGGGAGAGAGAGAGAAUGUGUGUGUGUGUGUGAGUCUGACUGCAUGUUUGUCUGAGAUGUGUGUAUGUUAAUUAUUAGCCCAGGCCAGGCGCAGUGGCUAACGCCUGUAAUCCCAACCCUUUGGGAGGCUGAGGUGGGUGGAUCACCGGAGGUCAGGAGUUUGAGACCAGCCUGGGCAAUAUGGUGAAAACCCUGUCUCUACUGAAAUAUAAAAAAUUAGCCAAAUUAGUCAGGUGUAGUUGUGGGCACCUGUAAUCCCAGCUACUCAGGAGGCUGAGGCACGAGAAUUGCUUGAACCUGAGAGGCAGAGGUUGCAGUGAACCCAGAUAGCACCACUGCAUUCCAGCCUGGGCAACAGAGUGAGAUUCUGUCUCCAAAAAUAAUAAUAAUAAUAAUGAUGAUGAUGAGCGCAGAUUGUGGUCAGUGUAA
rnacentral:lncRNA from 1 species